GACGAACGCUGGCGGCGUGCUUAACACAUGCAAGUCGAGCGGAAAGGCCCUUCGGGGUACUCGAGCGGCGAACGGGUGAGUAACACGUGAGUAAUCUGCCCUUGGCUUUGGGAUAACUACCGGAAACGGUGGCUAAUACCGGAUACGACAACCGUCUGCAUGGGCUGGUUGUGGAAAGUUUUUUCGGCCAGGGAUGUGCUCGCGGCCUAUCAGCUUGUUGGUGGGGUAAUGGCCUACCAAGGCUUCGACGGGUAGCCGGCCUGAGAGGGUGACCGGCCACACUGGGACUGAGACACGGCCCAGACUCCUACGGGAGGCAGCAGUGGGGAAGAUUGGACAAUGGGCGGAAGCCUGAUCCAGCAACGCCGCGUGAGGGAUGACGGCCUUCGGGUUGUAAACCUCUUGCAGUACCGACGAAGCGCCGAUGAUGGUGGUGACGGUAGGUACAGAAGAAGCACCGGCCAACUACGUG
rnacentral:rRNA from 1 species